rnacentral:tRNA from 2 species
GCCCCGAUAGCUCAGCUGGAUAGAGCAACGGACUUCUAAUCCGUAGGUCGCAGGUUCGAAUCCUGCUCGGGGUA